CAUAUUAUUUGUAAAUGUUUUGGUGUUGUUUUUUUGUUCUCUUGUGCUAGAAGUAGCAGCCAUCCAAUCAGUUGAUGCACGAGGCAUGAUGACUGAAAAGGCAUGUAAUCCCACAGUGUAAUCCCUCAACCCCCACGGAUAACCAGUCACUGGAAAUUAGCGAUACGUGACCCUUCUCUCUUCAUCAACCAGGCACAAAAGCAACGUUGUUUUUCCAUUGUGGCUUCAAGGCACGUUCACGGUCAAUUUCAGCCCACCUCCAAGGUGCUCCAAUGUCAUCUCUCUGUCAAAUCCAACUCGGAGGUCAUAGCAAAUCGCUCAAAGAAACAGUUCUGGUUUGUGGCCAACCCACCGUUCCUGCCAUAAAAGGUUGUUAAGCUUGGAUGGAUGAAUGUUGCAGGCGUGUGGGUGUGUUUCAGUGGAGCGUGACAUGGCAAGACUCCAUUUCACAGGGACAAAGUCAACCUAGAGGCCAGAUGGCCGGCAUCCUGUUACUGGCAGCUUGGCGGUGUAAUUAAUGAUGGACGAAUGACCUGGACCCAAAAAAUAAGGUCUUCCCAGACAAAAGGCGUUAGAUGGACUGAGAGAGAGAGAAGGAAAGAGAGAGAAAGAGGGAGAGGUACUUACACACCCUGGUCAUGUGAAACAGUCACUGUGAAUUUUUAAUUUACAUAUAAGGACAUAAAUUGGCUGUAUCCCUUAUUAAAUCCCUUAUUUCUCAUUAUAUUUCUUAUUAUAACUGUCUAUCCAAGGGCACCCCUAUAUCCCCAGAGCAAAUUCCCCUAUGCUUAAUGAAUUUAUGAGUCAUAUUAUAGCAAGCCCAUUAAGGAGCAUGAUUCAGUGAGAAUAACCCCAGAUCAAAUUAUGAUACACAUCCCUCCUGUCAGGGCAGGAUCCAGAAACUAAAACUAACGGCCAGAUUUGAACUGGACUGUGGUUCUGUAUGUGAUGGUUUUAUAAUAAGCUCAUUAGCACAGAGAAAAUAUAUGAUAAAUAGUGAAAUCAAUAGUGUUUGAGCCAUAUUUAAGUUUGACAACAGAUCACAUGGACAUGACGGACUUGAUGCUGAGAAUGAUAGUGCUCACUUUUGUGCUCAGAGGUAAGUCUUUGUUUUUUUUUUUUUUUUGCACAGCAUAGUACAAAUUUGACACACUGAAUUUUGUUUGUCUUUAGCUUGUUAACUAAAAAAGAGAUGCUGGUGAAUUUGUAGCUAUUAUAAUGCAAGGGAUAGCAGGAACUAACUUGGA